rnacentral:rRNA from 1 species
GAUGAACGCUGACAGAAUGCUUAACACAUGCAAGUCAACUUGAACUUCGGUUUGGGUGGCGGACGGGUGAGUAACGCGUAAAGAACUUGCCUCACAGUUAGGGACAACAUUUGGAAACGAAUGCUAAUACCUGAUAUUAUGAUUUUAGGGCAUCCUAGAAUUAUGAAAGCUAUAUGCGCUGUGAGAGAGCUUUGCGUCCCAUUAGCUAGUUGGAGAGGUAACGGCUCACCAAGGCGAUGAUGGGUAGCCGGCCUGAGAGGGUGAACGGCCACAAGGGGACUGAGACACGGCCCUUACUCCUACGGGAGGCAACAGUGGGGAAUAUUGGACAAUGGACCAAGAGUCUGAUCCAGCAAUUCUGUGUGCACGAUGAAGUUUUUCGGAAUGUAAAGUGCUUUCAGCUGGGAAGAAAAAAAUGACGAUACCAACAGAAGAAGUGACGGCUAAAUACGUG